AUUAAACGCUGGCGGCAUGCCUUACACAUGCAAGUCGAACGGCAGCACGGGGGCAACCCUGGUGGCGAGUGGCGGACGGGUGAGUAAUGCAUCGGAACGUGCCCUGAAGUGGGGGAUAACGCAGCGAAAGCUACGCUAAUACCGCAUAUUCUGUGAGCAGGAAAGCAGGGGACCGCAAGGCCUUGCUUUAGGAGCGGCCGAUGUCGGAUUAGCUAGUUGGUGAGGUAAAGGCUCACCAAGGCGACGAUCCGUAGCGGGUCUGAGAGGAUGAUCCGCCACACUGGGACUGAGACACGGCCCAGACUCCUACGGAGGCAGCAGUGGGGAAUUUUGGACAAUGGGCGCAAGCCUGAUCCAGCCAUGCCGCGUGAGUGAAGAAGGCCU
rnacentral:rRNA from 1 species